UACGAGAGGCCCAAACGUUAUUCGGAAUUACUGGGCUUAAAGAGUUCGUAGGCGGCGCAGAAAGUAGGGUGUGAAAGCCCUCGGCUCAACCGAGGAAUUGCGCUCUAAACUACUGUGCUCGAGGAAUCUAGAGGUGAGCGGAACUAAUGGUGGAGCGGUGAAAUGCGUUGAUAUCAUCAGGAACACCGGAGGCGAAGGCGGCUCACUGGGGAUUUUCUGACGCUGAGGAACGAAAGCCAGGGGAGCGAACGGG
rnacentral:rRNA from 1 species